AUUGAACGCUGGCGGCAGGCCUAACACAUGCAAGUCGAACGAGUGGCGGACGGGUGAGUAAUGUCUGGGAAACUGCCUGAUGGAGGGGGAUAACUACUGGAACCGGUAGCUAAUACCGCAUACCAUCAGAUGUGCCCAGAUGGGAUUAGUUAGUGGGUGGGGUAACGGCUCACCAAGGCGUCGAUCCCUAGCUGGUCUGAGAGGAUGACCAGCCACACUGGAACGGAGCCACGGUCCAGACUCCUACGGGAGGCAGCAGUGGGGAAUAUUGCACAAUGGGCGCAAGCCUGAUGCAGCCAGGCCACGUGUAUGAAGAAGGCGUUCGGGUUGUAAAGUACUUUCAGCGGGGAGGCGUUACCCGCAGAAGAAGCACCGGCUAACUCCGUGCCAGCCGCCGCGGUAAUUC
rnacentral:rRNA from 1 species